GACGGUACUAGUAAGAAUAAGGACCGGCUAACUCCGUGCCAGCAGCCGCGGUAAUACGGAGGAUCCAAGCGUUAUCCGGAAUCAUUGGGUUUAAAGGGUCCGUAGGCGGAUUAUUAAGUCAGAGGUGAAAUCCUGCAGCUCAACUGUAGAACUGCCUUUGAUACUGUUAGACUUGAGUUAUUGUGAAGUGGUUAGAAUGUGUAGUGUAGCGGUGAAAUGCAUAGAUAUUACACAGAAUACCGAUUGCGAAGGCAGAUCACUAACAAUUUACUGACGCUGAGGGACGAAAGCGUGGGUAGCGAACAGGAUUAGAUACCCUGGUAGUCCACGCCGUAAACGAUGGUCACUAGCUGUUUG
rnacentral:rRNA from 1 species